UACGUAGGGGGCAAGCGUUGUCCGGAAUCAUUGGGCGUAAAGAGCGUGUAGGCGGUCCGCUAAGUCGGCUGUGAAAGUCCAGGGCUCAACCCUGGGAUGCCGGUCGAUACUGGCGGACUAGAGUCCGGAAGAGGCGAGUGGAAUUCCCGGUGUAGCGGUGAAAUGCGCAGAUAUCGGGAAGAACACCGACGGCGAAGGCAGCUCGCUGGGACGGUACUGACGCUGAGGCGCGAAAGCGUGGGGAGCGAACAGG
rnacentral:rRNA from 1 species